rfam:Schistosoma curassoni strain Dakar, Senegal genome assembly, scaffold: SCTD_scaffold0000291
AUCCGGUUGACGAGUUCCAAAUAGGACGACACGUGUGUCCUGGAU